UCACCUGCCUUGCCUCAAAACCUUCACCCCUGCUUAUCUCAACGGAAAAUUCCAGCAGGGAUUUCUGAACACCAGUUAAAUUCCUCAGCUCAGCAAUCAGGCCGGCGCUUGGCUGCCUGACAGGCUGGGCAGAGCAGGCGAAGCAAAGUCCAGCCCCGAGGCGUCCAGGACCCAAAGGCCAGCACAGGGGACUGUGCAGGGAGAGGCGACCACCUCAGCUUCGGACCAGGCCUCACAGUCCCGUGGGAGCAGGCAGAGGAGAUCGGCUCACCUGACCAGGAGGCCCCACGCCCAACCUGGGGCUUGAACUCACAACCCUGGUCCUGAGAGUCACAAGCUCUGCUGACAGAACCAGCCAGGUGCGCCUGUUAUUAACUCCAACAUCUGGUUUUCUCUGAAGGUUUCUUGUCCUAAGUAAAAGGAGCCUUGGGUAGAUGGUUAUCCUCCCCAGAACAUGGCGGGAUCCAGAAGACAGUUUCCGAGGGGGCAGAACUGGAAGCAGACACUGGGCCAAGAUUCCACAGCAGAGGCUCUUUAUACCGAGACCAGCAACUCUAAAAGCCCCAGUAACCACAGAAGGGCUACCAUCAAUAGUGAGAAGGCAAGUGGCGUGCCUAGACCGCACCAUCGGCGAACCAUCUGACUCCUGAUUACGGCUCAGGUCAUGAUCUUAGGGUCAUGAGAUCUGCUUAAGAUUCUCUUCCUCUUCCCCACCCUUCCCCCCUCCCUUACGCAUUUGCACUCUCGAUCUCUCUCUCUCUCUCUCUCUCUCAGAAAGGAAAAAAAAUAAAUAACAGUGAGAAAGAGGGUCUUCAAGUUUGCAGGAGAAGGCUUUGCGUCCGGUUGGACUCCACCAAAGGUUACCCACCUGCCUUGUUCCUGGAGGACUGUCAGUAAAUAUUUACUGAAUU